rnacentral:rRNA from 1 species
UUUUUAGNUUUUUUNNNNCCCCCGNAGGACGNACGCUGGCGGCGUGCCUAAUACAUGCAAGUCGAACGCUUCUUUUCCCACCGGAGCUUGCUCCACCGGGAAAAGAGGAGUGGCGAACGGGUGAGUAACACGUGGGUAACCUGCCCAUCAGAAGGGGAUAACACUUGGAAACAGGUGCUAAUACCGUAUAACAAUCGAAACCGCAUGGUUUCGUUUUGAAAGGCGCUUUACGGUGCCGCUGAUGGAUGGACCCGCGGUGCAUUAGCUAGUUGGUGAGGUAACGGCUCACCAAGGCCACGAUGCAUAGCCGACCUGAGAGGGUGAUCGGCCACAUUGGGACUGAGACACGGCCCAAACUCCUACGGGAGGCAGCAGUAGGGAAUCUUCGGCAAUGGACGAAAGUCUGACCGAGCAACGCCGCGUGAGUGAAGAAGGUUUUCGGAUCGUAAAACUCUGUUGUUAGAGAAGAACAAGGGUGAGAGUAACUGUUCACCCCUUGACGGUAUCUAACCAGAAAGCCACGGCUAACUACGUGCCAGCAGCCGCGGUAAUACGUAGGUGGCAAGCGUUGUCCGGAUUUAUUGGGCGUAAAGCGAGCGCAGGCGGUUUCUUAAGUCUGAUGUGAAAGCCCCCGGCUCAACCGGGGAGGGUCAUUGGAAACUGGGAGACUUGAGUGCAGAAGAGGAGA